UGUUGGUCAUCAGCUGAGCUGCAACUGUGCCUUCCUCUGGCCAUGAACCCUGCUUAUUUUGGAUCCUAACCUGUGGAUUGAUCCUGACUCAACCUCAGACUUCUUUCAUCACCAAACAGUUGCUGAUGGACUGGGUGUUUGGCUGCCAUCCUCAGGCCUGUCCUGCUUGCUAUGCUUGGUUGCUGUGAGGCUGCACUCUGACAGCGAGGCGCCUGCCUUGCCAGCUGCAUUGUGCUUGGCUCCCGGCUCCCUGUCUUUCAGAUAGCAGAUGAUUCUUGCUGUAUUUCUACAAUAACUAUGCACUUGCCAAUAAGAUUGAUGUAGAAUGUUACAAGUUUAUUUUAAAGAAGAGCUGUCAACAAAUAAUAAUAAAAAAAAAUUGCAAUCAAAAUCGAUAAUACAAAACAUCAGGAUGCUUUAGGUGACUAUGUUUCAUGUAGAGGAGGUAAUUGCUUCUGUUGACUUGAGGGAAGGCUUACAUUUGACUUCUCUCUUCAUCGGGCCAAGAUAUCCUUAAGUCAAAUUCAUGCAUGGAGGGUAGAAAAAAGAAAUGGCUGAGGAAUCUGGAGCAGAAGCAGAAGACAUGGAUGGAACAAGCACUCCUAGGGUGGCGUGUAACACUGAAUACAGCCGGGAGCCUAUCGCAAACCUAUGUGAGGUGACAGACAACAGGGAGUGGCAGUGCUUUAAAUAAGAGGUGUGAGCAGCUUCAGAAAAUGGCCUCCUCAGCUGGACCUGGUGAUGGUCAUUUGGGCAACAUUUGCCUCGGUUUGUAAUGAAAAGCUACCGAAGGAUUGAAACAGAAGUCAAGAAUUAGAAGAAGGCUCAUGAGAACUUCACAGAAAGGCAGGAAAUCUGUGGUGAAACACAGGAAGUCAGCAGUCUUUUUUUAGUUGACACCGAGGUUGGAGGAGAUGCUGCUGGAGCUGAUGAGGUCAGGGAAGCUCUUCCUCGCAGAGCACGGCUGGGCACCUCACAGGUCCCCAGAACCAGGAGGCACAGGUGGUUUUCAUUGUGUCAGUGGCCUUCACUCCUUGGUGAGGAGGAGGAAAGGCCUUUUCAGG